rnacentral:lncRNA from 1 species
CUCUGGUAAAGUGAGCUUCAUCAAAUUGCAGGGUUUCCUUCCUUCCCAAUGUCCGGUUACUUCGUCUCUGAGGAGCCCGACACUCGUGCACAGUUCCUCUCAGUCCCUGUUAUACUUUCAUGUGAAGGGUAGAGAUGGAUCUCAUGCCUCCGCAGUGACCCAAGCCACAGCAGAACUCUGAAUCCUUAACCCACUGAGCCACAGGGGACCUCCAGUACAAAGUUUAAAAUGACUAACAUCAUGGAAAUUGGUUUUAAGUCGAUGUGCUGUGAAACUUACAGGUAAUAUAAGAACUUGAAUAAUGAUUCAGUUUUGCUGAAUAAAUUUGCAGUUUUCAUGUUCCUAAAACAUUUCAUUAGAGUAAUGUUAGGGUUUUUUAAAUAAUUAAACUAGUAGAAGUUUAGGAAGUUCAAAUCAAUUAUUCUCUCAGUAAGGAAACGAACUUGAUUAAAACACACAAUUGUAUUAUAUUUUACAGUGAAAAAAUACUUAGUUGAGGUUUUUUGUUUUGUUUUUUAGCCAAACAUUAAAAGAAUAUCAUUUGCCUAAGAUCUGGUUUAGUUAUUUGAAAAUGGAUUUCUUCUAUACUAGAAAUUUCUGUAAGAAGGAUUUUUUUUUUAAUCUUGCACAUUUAAAAGUUUAUUUUUUGAAUUUUAGGACUAGAUUUAUGUGAGUGUGUAGUCAUCUUGAUAAGUGUUGGGAAGGAAGAAAUUUUUCUUUCCUUCUAGGUUCUUCUGGCUGGCCUAAGAAUUAAAUUAACGUGAAUAGAGAAAAUUAAACAAAAAACUUAACAUGUACAUGGGAGAGACUCAGGAAAAUCAAUGUCCCCAAAUGUUUGAAGGAAAAUCAAUGUCCCCAAAUGUUUGAAGCCUUCACACUAAAUACAUUCUCAGAGUUCCUGCUGUGGCUCAGCAGGUUUAGAACCUGACAUAGUGUCAGUGAGGAUUCAGGUUCAAUCCCUGGCCUCACUUAGUGGGUUAAAGAUCCAGUGUUGCUGCAAGCUGUGGUAUAGGUCAUGCAGAGGUUGCAGGUGCAGCUUGGAUCGGGUGUGGCCGUGGCUGUGGCCUGCAGCUGCAGCUCUGAUUCAACCCCUAGCCCAGGAACUUCCAUAUGCCGCAGGUGCAGCUGUAACAAGAAAAUAAAUAAUAAAUACCAUUCUGAGCUAGAGACUAAAGAGGAUAUUGGGGUUGGUAGUCUGUUCUGGGAGGUCACCAGGAAGAGCACAGUGAACAAGGGUAAGAUCGUUAAGCAGAUUUAAAUCAAUGCUUUCUCUGUUGAUAACUGUCAUUAAUUACAAAAGGGUAGGUAAUUCCGGAGUUCCCGUCACUGAGCAGCGGAAACAAAUCCAACUAGGAACCAUGAGGUUUCAGGUUCAAUCCCUGGCCUCCCUCAGUGGGUUAAGGAUCCAGCGUUG